UGGGUAACGCAAACUACAUCAGAGGGGGUAUUCUCCCUCAAAAAACAACAUGGAAAACUAAAGACUGGGCAACGCAGACUACAUCAGAGGGGGUAUUCUCCCACAAAAAACAACAUGGAAAACUAAAGACUGGGCAACGCAAACUACAUCAGAGGUGGUAUUCUCCCUCAAAAAACAACAUGGAAAACUAAAGACUAGGCAACGCAAACUACAUCAGAGGGGGUAUUCUCCCACAAAAAACAACAUGGAAAACUAAAGACUGGGCAACGCAAACUACAUCACAAAACACAACAUGGAAAACUAAAGACUUGGCAACGCAAACUACAUCAGAGGGGGUAUUCUCGUAUGUUUUAGAAUGAUUAGCUAAUUGUAUCUUAUGUGUGUGCUUUUUAAUUAAGGUGAAUUCUUUCUGAAUAUUAUUUUUAUCCUAGGGACCUCGGUGGUCUAAUUAGUACAUCUACAGUAAUGACUAGCGUGGUGAUUUUGUUUUGUCAGAUUUUAUGGAUAACCCGGUUUGAAGUUACCUCGGAGAUUUAGUAGUACUCCUUUUCUUUCACUUCUCAUCAAGAAAAGGAAAGCGUCCUUAAAGAAAUGUCUUAUGUAAAUAGAUGAAACUGUUUUACCGAAGCAAAUUAUCGUCAUCAAGCAAGGGAAAAUUAUUUUUC
rnacentral:lncRNA from 1 species